AGGAUGAACGCUGGCGGAGUGCCUAACACAUGCAAGUCGAGCGGCAGCGCGAAGAAUUUAUUCUUUGGCGGCGAGCGGCGGACGGCUGAGUAACGCGUGGGAACAUGCCCCAAAGUGAGGGAUAAGCAUCGGAAACGGUGUCUAAUACCGCAUAUGAUCUUCGGAUUAAAGGAUUUAUCCGCUUUGGGAAUGGCCUGCGUACGAUUAGAUAGUUGGUGAGGUAAAGGCUCACCAAGUCUACGAUCGUUAACUGGUUUGAGAGGAUGAUCAGUCAGACUGGAACUGAGACACGGUCCAGACUCCGUACGGGAGGCAGCAGUGAGAAUC
rnacentral:rRNA from 1 species